GAAAUAAUUGUUGCUGAGUUUGGCUGCAUGUUAAUUGUACUUCAUCAGGUGCUCCGGUGAAAUUGAUACCCGGCACCUGUUGGAGCGCAAUUCAUAUGAACGUGCCUUGUUA
rnacentral:pre_miRNA from 1 species